GAUGAACGCUGGCGGCGUGCCUAAUACAUGCAAGUCGAGCGAACAGACGAGGAGCUUGCUCCUUUGACGUUAGCGGCGGACGGGUGAGUAACACGUAGGUAACCUACCUAUAAGACUGGGAUAACUUCGGGAAACCGGAGCUAAUACCGGAUAAUAUUUCGAACCGCAUGGUUCGAUAGUGAAAGAUGGCUUUGCUAUCACUUAUAGAUGGACCUUCGCCGUAUUAGCUAGUUGGUAAGGUAACGGCUUACCAAGGCAACGAUACGUAGCCGACCUGAGAGGGUGAUCGGCCACACUGGAACUGAGACACGGUCCAGACUCCUACGGGAGGCAGCAGUAGGGAAUCUUCCGCAAUGGGCGAAAGCCUGACGGAGCAACGCCGCGUGAGUGAUGAAGGUCUUCGGAUCGUAAAGCUCUGUUAUUAGGGAAGAACAAACGUGUAAGUAACUGUGCACGUCUUGACGGUACCUACUCAGAAAGCCACGGCUAACUACGUG
rnacentral:rRNA from 1 species